rnacentral:misc_RNA from 1 species
GAAAUGCGAUAAGUAAUGUGAAUUGCAGAAUUCAGUGAAUCAUCGAAUCUUUGAACGCACCUUGCGCUCCUUGGUAUUCCUUGGAGCAUGCCUGUUUGAGUAUCAUGAAAUCUUCAAAGUAAAUCUUUUGUUAACUCAAUUGGUUUCUACUUUGGUAUUGGAGGUCUUUGCAGCUUCACACCUGCUCCUCUUUGUUCAUUAGCUGGAUCUCAGUGUUAUGCUUGGUUCCACUCGGCGUGAUAAGUUAUCUAUCGCUGAGGAUACUGUAAAAGGUGGCCAAGGUAAAUGCAGAUGAACCGCUUCUAAUAGUCCAUUGACUUGGACAAUACUUUUAUGAUCUGAUCUCAAAUCAGGUAGGACUACCCACUGAACUUAAGC